CAGCUACACACGACCGUACCGCAAACCGACACUGGUGCGCGAGAUGAGUAUUCUAAGGCGCUUGAGAGAACUCAGGAGAAGGAACUCGGCAAAUUGACACCGUAACUUCGGAAGAAGGUGUGCCUUUAGUAGGUGAACCUGUACAAGGGGAGCCCAAUGAGGUUGCAAAAAAUCGGUGGCUGCGACUGUUUAUUAAAAACACAGCACUCUGCAAACACGAAAGUGGACGUAUAGGGUGUGACGCCUGCCCGGUGCUGGAAGAUUAAAUGAUGGGGUGCAAGCUCUUGAUUGAAGUCCCAGUAAACGGCGGCCGUAACAAUAACGGUCCUAAGGUAGCGAGAUUCCUUGUCGGGUAAGUUCCGACCUGCACGAAUGGCGUAACGAUGGCCACACUGUCUCCUCCUGAGACUCAGCGAAGUUGAAAUGUUUGUGAUGAUGCAAUCUCCCCGCGGAAAGACGGAAAGACCCCAUGAACCUUUACUGUAGCUUUGUAUUGGACUUUGAACAGAUCUGUGUAGGAUAGGUGGGAGGCUUUGAAGCAGGGUCGCUAGAUUUUGUGGAGCCAACGUUGAAAUACCACCCUGGUGUGUUUGAGGUUCUAACCUAGGUCCAUUAUCUGGAUCGGGGACAGUGCAUGGUAGGCAGUUUGACUGGGGCGGUCUCCUCCCAAAGCGUAACGGAGGAGUUCGAAGGUACGCUAGUUACGGUCGGACAUCGUGACGAUAGUGCAAUGGCAUAAGCGUGCUUAACUGCGAGACUGACAAGUCGAGCAGAUGCGAAAGCAGGACAUAGUGAUCCGGUGGUUCUGUAUGGAAGGGCCAUCGCUCAACGGAUAAAAGGUACUCUGGGGAUAACAGGCUGAUACCGCCCAAGAGUUCAUAUCGACGGCGGUGUUUGGCACCUCGAUGUCGGCUCAUCUCAUCCUGGGGCUGUAGCCGGUCCCAAGGGUAUGGCUGUUCGCCAUUUAAAGAGGUACGUGAGCUGGGUUUAAAACGUCGUGAGACAGUUUGGUCCCUAUCUUCCGUGGGCGCUGCAGAUUUGAGGAAGCCUGCUCCUAGUACGAGAGGACCGGAGUGGACAUACCUCUGGUGUAUCGGUUGUCACGCCAGUGGCAUUGCCGAGUAGCUAAGUAUGGAAGAGAUAAACGCUGAAAGCAUCUAAGCGUGAAACUCGUUUCAAGAUGAGAUCUGCCGGGGCCUUGAGCCCCCUAAAGAGUCGUUCAAGACCAGGACGUUGAUAGGUCAGGUGUGGAAGCGCAGUAAUGCGUUAAGCUAACUGAUACUAAUUGCUCGUGCGGCUUGAC
rnacentral:rRNA from 1 species